CAAGGUAAAAGCAUUAAAUUUACGUAAGGAAGCUUCGUUCCUCGUUUGUGCGGUGUGCAAAGAUUGCGCGCAAUUCCCGCUGUUCUUGGAGUGCCGAUGAAGUACGAGUCGUUCAAGAAAUCAACGAAAUGUGCGGGCGCUCGAAUGACUCCAUGGCUGACGCCCGUGGCCACCUUCUACACGCCAGUGCGAAAGAAACUAAAGCACUGUGGAGGCUGCAGGGCGGCUUUGCCAGUAGGAAGGGCGGAAAUUCCUGAAGAUGUGUUCAUCCAUGCUGCAUCAGCUGCUUGGUGUUUUCAUGGCAUCUCUGCACACGUGUUGGGCGAAUGGUUUACCUACCCGGUAGCUAUACCUCGUAAUCUGAAGAAACCAGCAGAAUGCAUCAGUGUCAGAGUUGGCUCUUGUAGCGCAUGCAAGUUGAUCAUAAGCAGAAAACCAGAAGCGGCAGUGGUCUCCAGAAGAGACCCAAGGACCCCAAGCUCUCUGUGACACAAACAGGAAGGGCACUGUGGUGCAUUGAAAACCUGUGCCAGUAGUGCAUUACCAGUGCACUAUGCUGCUGUUUCAUCAAGGAGAAAGGAGGUGACCACCCCCAGAGGAACUUCAUGCUCUACAGUAUGCUUUUGAAUGCCACAUGGAGAAGUGUGGAAGGCGUUCCUCCAUGGCAGAGCGGUGACCGGGGCGUGAGCUGACACCUGGCAGACAAGCUGGAUGUCAUUGCAACUGGUGGCGGAAGGAGAAGACGACAAGAUGCUCGUGUGGUUGUGCGUGCCAGGACUUGAUUGCGUUUUUUCUCAGACUAUUUUAC
rnacentral:misc_RNA from 1 species